rnacentral:rRNA from 1 species
UACAGAGGUGGCAAGCGUUGUUCGGAAUUACUGGGCGUAAAGGGCGCGUAGGCGGCCUUCUAAGUCAGACGUGAAAUCCCCCGGCUUAACCUGGGAACUGCGUCUGAUACUGGAGGGCUAGAGUUUGGGAGAGGGAUGUAGAAUUCCAGGUGUAGCGGUGAAAUGCGUAGAUAUCUGGAGGAAUACCGGUGGCGAAGGCGGCAUCCUGGACCAACACUGACGCUGAGGCGCGAAAGCGUGGGGAGCAAACAGG